CCCAAAGUAGUUGGGGCGACGGUUAUUCGGCAAUUCCGCCCCAUCACAGUGAUCAAUGUGUUGGAGCGAAUCUUUGCAAAGGUUUGCGCGACCCGUUUAUCCCCCAUGGCGGAAAGGAUUGCCCACCCCCUCCACUUCACGUUCUUGAAGGGCCAGCAGAUCCACGACGGGAUUCUUGCCCUUCAUGAGAUUGUCCACGAGGUGGCGUCGAACGGGCUUAAGGGGGUCUUCCUCAAAUUUGACUUCCAGAAGGCAUAUGGUUGUCUGGAUUGGUCCUUUUUGAGGUUGGUUAUGCAGCGAUGA
rnacentral:rRNA from 1 species